rnacentral:rRNA from 1 species
CUAAGUAUAGCAAUUAUACAGCGAAACUGCGAAUGGCUCAUUAAAUCAGUUAUCGUUUAUUUGAUAGUACCUUACUACUUGGAUAACCGUGGUAAUUCUAGAGCUAAUACAUGCUAAAAACCCCGACUCACGAAGGGGUGUAUUUAUUAGAUUAAAAACCAAUGCCCUUCGGGGCUCUUUGGUGAUUCAUAAUAACUUUUCGAAUCGCAUGGCCUUGCGCCGGCGAUGGUUCAUUCAAAUUUCUGCCCUAUCAACUUUCGAUGGCAGGGUCUUGGCCUGCCAUGGUUACAACGGGUAACGGAGGGUUAGGGCUCGACCCCGGAGAAGGAGCCUGAGAAACGGCUACUACAUCCAAGGAAGGCAGCAGGCGCGCAAAUUACCCAAUCCCGAUUCGGGGAGGUAGUGACAAUAAAUACUGAUACAGGGCUCUUUUGGGUCUUGUAAUUGGAAUGAGUACAAUUUAAAUCCCUUAACGAGGAACAAUUGGAGGGCAAGUCUGGUGCCAGCAGCCGCGGUAAUUCCAGCUCCAAUAGCGUAUAUUAAAGUUGUUGCAGUUAAAAAGCUCGUAGUUGAACCUUGGGCCUGGCUGGCCGGUCCGCCUCACCGCGUGCACUGGUUCGGCCGGGCCUUUCCCUCUGGGGAACCUCAUGGUCUUCACUGAUCGUGAUGGGGAACCAGGACUUUUACUGUGAAAAAAUUAGAGUGUUCAAAGCAGGCCUAUGCUCGAAUACAUUAGCAUGGAAUAAUAAAAUAGGACGUGUGGUUCUAUUUUGUUGGUUUCUAGGACCGCCGUAAUGAUUAAUAGGGACAGUCGGGGGCAUCAGUAUUCAAUUGUCAGAGGUGAAAUUCUUGGAUUUAUUGAAGACUAACUACUGCGAAAGCAUUUGCCAAGGAUGUUUUCAUUAAUCAGGAACGAAAGUUAGGGGAUCGAAGACGAUCAGAUACCGUCGUAGUCUUAACCAUAAACUAUGCCGACUAGGGAUCGGACGGUGUUACUUAUUGACCCGUUCGGCACCUUACGAGAAAUCAAAGUCUUUGGGUCU